UGGCCACGGGAACGUUGAACAACGACUGACCCAUCGUGGUCGUCUCCGAGAAUUGUUCGUCGCCGUCUUUGUAGAAGUAAAAUUUACGUUGGGAGAUGGAACCGUUGACGACGCAGGUGACGCCCGCGGAAGGAGUGUCUGGAGAGCGGCUAGAAGAGAGGAAGAGCUUGGCCGUCCGUCUGUCACAUGAGGCCGGUUGCUACGGAACAGCGGAAAUCAACCUAACACCCCCCCCCCCAAAAAAAAAAGGAGAAAAACCAAACAAACCGAAAAAAAAAAAAAAUCAAUCAUAAACUGCAACAUUUUCUCCUCGUUCCUGGUUAACCCGAGCGUCUCCGUGGCGUCACCAACGUCCCCUGCUGGGUUGUCUCGCCGUUUUCGGCCUCCACGUUAGCGACACGAUGACCACGACAAACACCUGAGGAGCGACGGCUCAACCGAUCCCUGAGAAGAAACCCCAGCCAAUCCCGUUUGAGCGCUCGGUGGCCUGUGACACGUUGACCCGCGCGGUCACGGUGGUGGAUCCGUCUCGUUUCAGAGGUUUUUCUGGUUAUCGAAGCGGCCGAGAAAAGCACGACCCGGCUUGACGUGAUGGUGAGGACCAGAAAUAACCCUUCUCCUCCGGUGGCAUCUGUUGAUGGUUGAGUUUACGGACACGAUGGGAGGAAAUAAAUGUAGGUUUUACUUCCCGAUUCUUGAGGAACCUCAUCCGUGGGGCAGAACUUCCCCUUCGUGACUCAACCUCUUGCGCAGUUCUUCCUGCCUUCCCUGUAUUUGGUGAAAUGGUGACUCAGCUUCAUUUUUUUUUUAGCGAGUUGGCCUCUUUUUUUUGAUUUUUCUUAAGAAAAAGCCUUGAAGUUUGGUCAGUGGGUUGAAAUCGGAAGCUCUGGAGGAUCGUUGGUGGGGAGAUGAGUUAUCCCUGGUUCUGCUUUGGCGAUGCUUUCUUCGGUUCCUGGUGGUGAGGGACGUGGAGGAGAAGUUGGAAGGAGGACGUGGAAAGGACACGCUCCUCAACCGAAGCGAAGUUUAGUUCCUCAGCUCAUCUUCUGGGGCUUUUUUUCUCCUCCCCCGUCCUUGGAUUUGGUGGGGGCUGUUUUGCGGUGGUACCUCCAGCAGUGCACCCCCCCUCAGCUACGGCGUGAGGAGCCAGGAGCUGAAGGAGUCCAUCAGGAAAGCGGUUUCAUGGAGGUUUCAUGACCAGGAUCUUCUUCUGAAGGUCAGAAAUGAUUCCUGAGGGACCUUCCCAAGGUUGUCCCAGACGUGAACUUGCAGAUGGUGUCCUCAAAGAUGGGCAUCUGGAGUGACGGUGACACUUGGCUCGAGGACACUGCAGGACAUGGGGAGGGCUCGUGCCCAGCUUGCUGUCCAACCAACACCCCAGGUCCUUCUCUGAAAAGCUGGUUCCCACCUGGUUGGCCCCCGGCGUCUCGCGACGAACGUCGCCGGGCAGGAACACGCUCAAGGAAACGCCCUGGCGAGGAAAACCGCCAGCGAACGGCUCGAACGUGCGAUGCGAUCGCUCCCCAUCCUCAGGCCGGCCAAGGGGGAAAAAUAAAGUGGAAAAAAAAAAAAAAAAUGUUAGGUGAAUUUAGGUAAGCCGUCCCAUCUACGUCCCCUCCCAACCGCUCGCCCACGUUUGAGGCCAUCGGCGUUGGAGAGACGACCUUGACGUGGUGGGAACACCGCUCGCCAAACCGUUGGCGUGUGAUCGACGCCGUCCUCGCCGGGAAACGCGUGGAAAGUUAACUCCGUCCCCGCCGGACCUGGCCCAGUGGCGUUUGAAGGCGGGGAGGUCUCUUCCAACCUGCGGUCACCUAUGAUGCAAUGAACCAGUUUUUUUUGUCCUCGGAGAGCUCUUUGAAGACAGAGUAGACAGAGGGAGAAGGAGAAAAUGGACCACAGCAGUUCCUCUGAGGAACGGUUCUCCACUCGAACCGUCGGUAGGAAAUCUGUUAGGUAAAUUUGAUGAAACAAGCUUUUCCUGUCAUUUCCUUCAAGUCUUCAAGAGUUGUACAGAUAAUUGGAGCUGUUGCCUAGGAGAAAGAUCUCAAAGAGCUUCUAACAAAAAUGACGUUUUUCUUGUCGAGGGUGAAGUUUAUUUGGGUUUUUUUUCAGCUUAGAGAGGACGCGAUAACCUCUGACUGAUACCGAUCCAGGAGAUUUGGAGAGCCAGACUGGUCGGAGAAGCUGUCCCUCGAGGUCUGACACAGUGCGGACAACCUCGCCCCGCGCCUCUGCAACCCCACCGUGUCUCUCAUCAGCCAGCUGGUGACUCGUGUCCCUUCUCCUUCCAUCCGAUUUCUCUCCCGCACUCUGCGCCUGGGUGUUACGGCUCCUUUGUGCCACCUCCCACCUGCUUUCCUGACGGAACUGGGGUUUUUUUUUUUUUCAUAUUUUCCAACAAACGACAUAAACCUGAUAAAAUUCACCAUUGAAAGCAACCGCUCCUCAACUCUACGCCACGUACAAGCUGCCAUCCAGCGGGGUUCGCCUUCCGCUAAGCGUAACCGCGCGAGAAAUGUUUCAGGCGGCGAGGGAAUUAUAAAAUAAACAUGAUUAAAGAGUUGGCCAAAGACGGAAUUAGGCUGCUGAAAGACAGGCAAGCGUUGAACUUCCAGGAAAGGAUGCAGGAAAUUAUGGGCCCAUCAGUUUUACUUCAAUCCCUGAGAAGGUUGUGGAACGAAUGCUCCUGGGGGCUACCACAAGUCAGAUGAAGCACGUGAUUGGGAUCCUGUGCUGUUCAAGAAUACGAACACCUCAGGACAGCUUGAAAAUUCCUUUCCGAGAUGAUGGCGCUAUUUUUUUUGGUCGUGGGAAAGGACGUGAGAAAGGAAAAGCACCAGAAACUGCGGCUUUGGAGGUGCAGAGCGGAGGUGAGGAUGCAGAAGUGUCCUUCUGAGGGUAGUGCUGUGGUGCACAAAGUGACUCGGAGGGAGUCUGGAUGAACCCACGGCUUUGUGUUUCAGGGAACGUGUGACGAGGAGGGAGAGACAGCAGCGCAGGUAGGGACAUAGCGGGGUGAGAAGAAGGUUGGGAAGCGCGUCGGGUGCCCGCAGGGAAACAGGCAGCGGCGUGGGGCGGUGUACGACGGCCUGUGGUGCCGAUGGCCGAGGGUGCUGGCAAGGCUGAAAGGCCCCGAUAGAACCGAGGUCUUUGCCCCUUUGGCUAUGGCUGACGUCGCUGCCACCGAGGCCUCAGAGGAGACACCUUGUCCUCAUGGCCAUGGGGCAUCGUCGCCUCCUUGCACCCACCGCGGGAGAGGCCGUGAGGUGUCAUACCGUUGUCCUUCCCUCGGCGUCACGCUCCCCACCAUGACAAGGCAGAGCCCGGAGACACAGGUGAGGGUCAGGAUGUCCCUUGCCAGGGGCUGGGGGUCAGCGCUUGGCAUUUCUGCUUCACCAGACAAAGCCAGGGUGUCCUCAGCAUCAGAGCUGCCUGCACUUUGCCUUGCUUUGUCAUCAUGGCCUCCAAUUAUCUGCUCUAACGAGUCGCUGGGGAGGCUUUGUCAGUAAUGGCCCCCAGUGGGGCCCAUUGAUGCUUCAAGGUACUUUGGGCUUUACUUGGCCUUCUUGAGAGCUUUCUUCAGUCUCCUUUUUUUGGUACUUGAGUUUCAUGGACUCAGCAGCAAACACGCCAUGGGGCUCAUUAAAGUGCAGAAAACUCUAACGAGCCACGUCUCUUCCCGUAAUUUUCUUCAAGUCCUCAAGACUUGUACAACUAAUUGGAGAGGCUGAAAUCGGGUACUUAAUGAUGAAGAUUUCAAAGAUGAUUUCAUGAAGGAGGAUUUUUUUUUCUUUCAAGGCUGUUUUCUCUCACGUUUCAGUUUAUAGAAGAAGUGAUAGCAGCAUUCUACAAUGGAUGUUGGUCCAAGCUGUCUCCUAAAGACAUCUGGACAGGCAGGAGAAGCAGUCCCUUGAGAUCCAACGCUGUCUGGACCAACCUCGUUCCUCCCCAAGGCCACCAGUUCCCUCAUCGGCCACCUGGGCCUUGCAUCGCCUUUCCUCACGUCAGACUUCUCCAGUGAGCUCUGCGGCUGGAUGGUAACAGCUCCUUCACACCAGCUCCCACCUGCUUUCCUUGGAGACCUGGGCUGCACACAGGCACACAAACGUUUCUCUUCGUUGACAACAAACGACGGUUAAACGCGAUACGAGUUAAGGAACGUGAAAUCUCUCUCCGCAGCUGGAUGCUAAGUCCAAGCAGCGUCUAACGUGCUCCACCUUUCACAAGGGAUUUCCGUACAAGAAGAGUUUUAAACAUGGAGAUAACAAAGGGUAGAUACAGACCCAGUGAAGGUGUCGACUAACGAGUUCAUUAGACUUCUGAAAGACGGGGCAAGUUUCUAACUCCCUGAAGCUCAAAGCAGAAACCAGAGAGUUGAGAGGCAUCUGAAUGACCAAAGAGCAAGCGGAGGAGGAAACCUGAGAGCAACGGGAAGGGCGUACGUCCAGAUAGUCUGCUGCAAUGAUGUCCUUAGGCGUGGCCAUUGAACCAGGAGAGGUGGAAACACCUGAGCGACGAGGGAGAUGAAAGAAUAGGGGUAGAUGAAUAUUUCUUCUGCUAUUAUUAUUAUAUUUCCUGGAAAUUCCCGUUCUGUCAUGGUGGGAAAACGUUGGCAGUUCUUACAAGUACUUCAAGGAGUCACCUGAUGAACAUUUCUUUGUAGAUGAUUUCAAUGACAAAAAAAAAGACCCCUGUGCCCCUUUCCAUGCAGACACCAGUUGUCUGAGCGUGAAGAGGCAGUGCCACUUUGAGGGGCCCCCGUGUACCUGAGGUGCUGGCCUGGGAUUGGCAUCUGGCACAGAGGACCUGUGGGAGAGCAGAGCCCCUUGCAAGCUGCAGGUGGAGGCUGGGCAGGGCUUCCCAGGGCAUCUACACUGGCACCAGGUCUCUGUGUCCCUCGAGCUGAAGGCAUUCGUGUCCUACAUCCAUUCCCGGUUCUGGGAAAAGGCAAUUCCCCUCCAAAGACAGGGGAAAAAAAAAAAAAAAAGCUGAAGAGUGUGUUGACACCUCUCUUUGCUUUGGUUCUUUGUCUUCAGAUCUUCUUCCUUUCAUUUCCAUGACAUUCACUGACAUCUGAGAGGUCUACAGGCAUUAAACCAAGAUCAUCUGGGGUCUUGCACAGAGCCCCCAAAACCUUCCCUGCCCAGGACUCCCCAGUCUUUGCACAGAGCGAGUCCCACUGAGGUGUGGACCUCUCUUCACUGGUUGACGGGUUGGUUUAGAUGGUCACCUACAGCACAGGAGGAUUCAUGCCCCGUAAACGUCUGCAGAACUCCAGUUCGAAAUAGG